rnacentral:lncRNA from 1 species
GGCUUGUGACACAAAGUCCAAAAGAUAACUGCUUAUAGAAGUCCCCAAAUCGAGAUAGAUAUAAUUUAGCUAUCCGAUCCACACAGAACUUACCCAGUAUUCCUAGUUUUGCAAACUGCUUAAGAUCCCCUUGAGCUGAUUUCAAUCAGUAAAUUGAUUGAUGAUGAUGGUACCAGACAGGGGAUGGCGUGGCCGGAAGAGAUGAACCUCAUCCCCUUUCCCUUCCUGGAAAACCCUACUCCGGAUGGCAGGGAGAGACAGCCUUUUGCCCCCUACCAUCCCUGAGCGUUCACGGAGGCAAUUCAACAGGGUCCAAUUCUCAAGCGACAUGGAGAAUUUCUCAAGAUCCGUUCAUGCUAACUAACCCAACCGACCAUUUUAUGAUGACUUGAGAACGGGUUUGAAAUGAAAUGAAAUAAACUCAAGCACUCAUUCAGGAAGGGACAAGAAUCCUUCCUAACCAUGGUGUAGGGACAUAUACAACCUACCUAGAAACAGGUUACCAGCACAGCCUGGUGUGCAAGCACAGUGCAAGGGAGUGUGGGAGAGAGGCACAAGGAGAAAAGGAGUCAAAAAGAAAAACGAAAAGAAAAAAAGAAACAAACAAACAAAAAAUUGGGACUUUGUAAUUGGGACCAAGUUAGUGGGAAGGAAGUCACAGCAUGGCCACACCUCCCCUCGGUCCAAGGGGCAAGCAGCCAGUCAAGGGGUGGGGUUAGAUACUCAACACUGAAUACCCUCUGGGAGAGGCGGGGCAUGAGGGGCGGGGCAUGGGGUGGGUGGGCUGGGAUGAAGGUGCCUUCACCUGUUCUAGGUUCAUCGGGCUACUGGAAAGUUGCACACUGCCAGAUGGAAGUCCUUUAAAGGGUCCACGCCAGAUCAUUUACAAGCUGUGUGGAAGAAAGUUCUGUGAAUUGCCAGAGCAGCCAAGGACCUGAGGAGGAUCCA